UGUAAAUACCCUCCUUGGGUGUUUCCUCCCUAGACUUAGCCGCGCUGUACAGCGCGGUUCUUUUUUUGAGCGUC
rfam:Rhizobium gallicum bv. gallicum R602, complete genome.